rnacentral:rRNA from 1 species
UACGUAGGGGGCUAGCGUUGUCCGGAAUCAUUGGGCGUAAAGCGCGUGCAGGCGGCCCGGUAAGUCCGCUGUGAAAGUCGGGGGCUCAACCCUCGGAUGCCGGUGGAUACUGUCGGGCUCGAGUACGGAAGAGGAGAGUGGAAUUCCUGGUGUAGCGGUGAAAUGCGCAGAUAUCAGGAGGAACACCGAUGGCGAAGGCAGCUCGCUGGGACGGUACUGACGCUGAGGCGCGAAAGCGUGGGGAGCAAACAGG